CGGACCUUACAGUUUAUGGGAUGAUUCUGUUUUGCUGAUGAAGAAACCAAGGCACAGAGAGUCUGUAACUCACCCAAGUUCCCUUUGCUGGAGCAUCCCGUGGCCUGGAACAGAGCUCUGGGGACUGGCAUCCUUCCACUGACUUUGAUGCUGAUGACAGCCCUGAUCGUGUGAUUCAGCUGGCCUUAACCCGACCCACGUGCACGUAUUCCUCAGCACAUCUAGAGCUGAAGUCGAGAGCCUCUGUGGGAACGCUUGGCAGCCCAUGCUGUUCUAAGGCUGGAGCAGAAUUUCUUAGUCUAUUCCAGGUAGACAGGCCUGCAGGGGGUCCAACCCCUACAAGCCCCUCUGUCUGGAAUAGACUGCUUUCAUCUCUGAUGUUAGAAAGCAGACCUGUUUCAGGGUUUGGGGAAGGUUGUUCGAUAUGAACUGGGUCCUCUCUAAUUAUUUUUACUGUAUGUGUGACUUCUUCCUAGAAAGAAUGGAAGAAUGUUUAUGUUAGAACAUUUUAUCUAUUCUUUGUCAAUUGUUGUUUGUCUGCAAUUUUAAAGUAGAUAAAGGAUAGCUCAAUGUAAAUAUAUUCUUAAUAAUUAACUAUGGUUGAUGUCCACUGCCAUGAGAUCAUAUUCACUUCUACAUAUGAUCUAUUACUUAGGAAUUAUCCUGCUCCUGAUGAGAAAACAGACUCAGAAAGAUUACAAAAUUACCUAGGCCACAAGUCUAGUGGGGAGAAGAAUAAGAAUUAGAAACUAGUUUCUUUUGGCCUUCAAAGCUAACCUCAUACCAUUAGAUUGAACUGAAUGACAAUACUUUCGCUAUAAUAAGUCUCAGAGUUUGUGGUUCUGCAUUGUGUUUCCAAGGAAACAGGGUGUCACUUUAAUAUUAUUUCAAACUUUU
rnacentral:lncRNA from 1 species